rnacentral:rRNA from 1 species
AGAACGAACGCUGGCGGCAGGCUUAACACAUGCAAGUCGAACGCGUGUAGCAAUACACGAGUGGCGCACGGGUGAGUAACGCGUGGAUAUCUGCCUUUUGGUUCGGAACAACCCAGGGAAACUUGGGCUAAUACCGGAUAAGCCCUUACGGGGAAAGAUUUAUCGCCGAAAGAUCGGCCCGCGUCUGAUUAGCUAGUUGGUGAGGUAAUGGCUCACCAAGGCGACGAUCAGUAGCUGGUCUGAGAGGAUGAUCAGCCACAUUGGGACUGAGACACGGCCCAAACUCCUACGGGAGGCAGCAGUGGGGAAUAUUGGACAAUGGGCGCAAGCCUGAUCCAGCCAUGCCGCGUGAGUGAUGAAGGCCCUAGGGUUGUAAAGCUCUUUUGUGCGGGAAGAUAAUGACGGUACCGCAAGAAUAAGCCCGGCUAACUUCGUGCCAGCAGCCGC